UAAAAGUCAGGUCGGAUUAAGCCAUAGUACGGAAAAAACUAUGCUACCUGUGAGCCCCGUCCAAGGACGUUAAAAGAAGUCAGGCCAUCACAAAAAUGCCACAGCUUGAGUAAACUGUGCAGCCUGUAGCUCCACCUGAGGAGGUGUAAAAAACCCGGGAGGCCACAAACCAUGGAAGCUGUACGCAUGGUGUAGUGGACUAGCGGUUAGAGGAGACCCCUCCCUUACAAAUCGCAGCAACAACGGGGGCCCAAGGUGAGAUGAAGCUGUAGUCUCACUGGAAGGACUAGAGGUUAGAGG
rnacentral:lncRNA from 1 species